UACAGAGGCCCCAAGCGUUGUUCGGAUUCACUGGGCGUAAAGGGUGCGUAGGCGGUCGGGUAAGUCUGAUGUGAAAUCUCACAGCUUAACUGUGAAACUGCAUUGGAUACUAUCCGGCUAGAGGAAUGGAGGGGAGACUGGAAUACUUGGUGUAGCAGUGAAAUGCGUAGAUAUCAAGUGGAACACCAGUGGCGAAGGCGAGUCUCUGGACAUUUCCUGACGCUGAGGCACGAAAGCCAGGGGAGCAAACGGG
rnacentral:rRNA from 1 species